rnacentral:rRNA from 1 species
UGGGGAAUAUUGCACAAUGGGCGCAAGCCUGAUGCAGCAACGCCGCGUGAGGGACGACGGCCUUCGGGUUGUAAACCUCUUUUAGUAGGGAAGAAGCGAAAGUGACGGUACCUGCAGAAAAAGCACCGGCUAACUACGUGCCAGCAGCCGCGGUAAUACGUAGGGUGCAAGCGUUGUCCGGAAUUAUUGGGCGUAAAGAGCUCGUAGGCGGUCUGUCGCGUCUGCUGUGAAAACCCGAGGCUCAACCUCGGGCCUGCAGUGGGUACGGGCAGACUAGAGUGCGGUAGGGGAGAUUGGAAUUCCUGGUGUAGCGGUGGAAUGCGCAGAUAUCAGGAGGAACACCGAUGGCGAAGGCAGAUCUCUGGGCCGUAACUGACGCUGAGGAGCGAAAGCGUGGGGAGCGAACAGGAUUAGAUACCCUGGUAGUCCACGCCGUAAACGUUGGGCGCUAGAUGUGGGGACCAUUCCACGGUUUCCGUGUCGCAGCUAACGCAUUAAGCGCCCCGCCUGGGGAGUACGGCCGCAAGGCUA